CAUCGGGUCCACGCAAUAGGAUACUGUGAACCGGGUCAGGUCCGGAAGGAAGCAGCCCUAAGCGGAGGAAUAUGUGCCGUGGGCAGCCCGGUGGCC
rnacentral:SRP_RNA from 1 species